GUGGUCUUUAAAUCAGUCCCGUGAGGCUGGUAAGAUGUUAGGAGUACGUGGAAAUAUUAUAUCUAUAUGAAGGUGCGUCUAUAACUUCUUACCAGCAGGGUAAGAAGUUUUUUUAU
rfam:Thermobrachium celere DSM 8682 genomic scaffold, scaffold54